GCAAACAGCAGUCCGUUUCAUGAAGAUGUUGCUGGAGAAGGGACUUCUGGAAUAAAUAAUCUCUUGCAGCAAGGGUCCAGGCAUACAGUGCCACAAAGCACCACUUCCACUGUUGCAGUCAAUCCUGACGAACCAGAAUGGAAGGAAAUAUUCAAUGCUUCAAGUGCAGCAACACUGUUUCGAAGAUGUUUGUUGAGAGAGCAAGGGCUGGAGAAACCUAUUCGCUUCUCAAUGGACAUAGAAUCAGGUGUUGAAGACAGAGAAAAAGCAGAGAAAUACUCAUCAUGCAGGCAGACUGGUGGGGCAUUCUUUCAUUCACGGUGGCCCAGGUUUGGCAGGCAUCAGUCCUGCUGUUGUCCAUGUGCUCCUAGGAGGGCAAUUGGAGACAGCAACAUUGGUCCUGGAGGAUUGCCCUGAUCUUGAUCAGAGGAACACUAUCCACUUGCUGGAAGGCAUCAAGGAGCUAUCUGAGGACCAGAAGGCUGAUGUCAAUAGCCUGACAGACAUGUGGGAACUGCCACGACUGACUGAUAACAGAUGAUAUCUUCAUCGGCAGCUUUUGCAGCAUGCAGUAAUGAAAGAGUUUGUUGAAAUUGAUGCUUUUUAACAUACAGUAACUCAAUACUUGGCUGGUUCUGAAUCUGUCAUUUUAUAUUUAUUUAUUUAAUAAAAGGAUAAAAUAUGCUAAAUAUUUUGACUAUAACAUUAUCACAACAGCGAAAAAAGUUAAAUUUCAUUCAAUUCAGAUCUUACCUUUGUGCAAAUAUUCAGUGUUCUAAUCAAUGGACUGCUGUGUCUAGCUCGACCUUUUUGAGACGUCUAGUUACCCCCACUGAAAGGGUGACGUAAGCCUUAGGUUCCCACUGAGCGUAUUGAUGCUGCUUGCAUGUAUUUAUUUUGAAAAGGCACUGCAGUCCGUGAUUUGUAACUUUGGGAACAGACAGGAGCCGAGGACAGCAUUCUAAAAUUCUGGGAAGAACUUCUUCUCAGAGAAAACAAAUGAGAAAGGGCCUAAAAGAAACUGAGAGAGAGUGUGGCCGAUAUUAUCCGAAAGAAGAGAUGUGGCUGAAGCUGUCUUCCCAUCUGGGAAAGAAGUGAUCUGCAGCCCCCAGGAACAAUACCAAACAAUAUACUUUACUGUCCCCAUGGAGAAACUUGUUUUGGACUCAAAUGCUGUGCACAAAUGGCUGCCUCCAUAGUAGUAUAAAAUAAAAUUUAAGCUAAGCAGCAUAUACUUUCAAAUCACAAGCACAAAUUACACAUUGUACAACUAGUGAUAAGAAUGUGCCACGUUCUUGAAGAAAGUAGUCCAAUCUAGAUCGCUUUUAACUCACUUUAUCUGUUAAAGUAUUU